UACGGAGGGGGCUAGCGUUGUUCGGAAUUACUGGGCGUAAAGCGCACGUAGGCGGCUUUGUAAGUUAGAGGUGAAAGCCCGGGGCUCAACUCCGGAAUUGCCUUUAAGACUGCAUCGCUAGAAUUGUGGAGAGGUAAGUGGAAUUCCGAGUGUAGAGGUGAAAUUCGUAGAUAUUCGGAAGAACACCAGCGGCGAAGGCGACUUACUGGACACAUAUUGACGCUGAGGUGCGAAAGCGUGGGGAGCAAACAGG
rnacentral:rRNA from 1 species